GGAUCGGCACUGGGAGAGCUUCCUCCAUUUUUCAUAUCAAGAGCUGCUCGUAUAGCAGGGAGUGAAUUGGAAGUAAUGAAAGAAUUGGAUUCUUCUUCAACUGAAGAUGGUGGAGUUGUAGCUUAUCACGUGAACCGGAUCAAACUAUGGCUAACUUUUUAACGAUAUUAGUUCUUGCUUCGGUACCCAACCCUCUAUUUGACCUUGCUGGUAUAAUGUGUGGACAAUUUGGCAUUCCAUUUUGGACAUUCUUUAUCUCAACAAUGAUUGGAAAGGUAUUUAUCAAGACUCACAUACAGAAAUAUGAUGCUGACCCAGCAGCAAAGGCAGCUGCUGCAACUGUCCUUGGCAUCCAAGUUGGGUGUGGAUUCAGGUCUAAGAUUCCAUGUAGGAGAUGAAUCUUUAGUGGCAAGUAUGAGAGAACUUUAGCAGCAAAUAUUUUUCUCUUGUGACGAUUUGAUUGUAUCAUCUUUUGCUAUCUUUCAAUGUAAUUAGCUAGAAUGCAGUAGCCAUCAAGCUAGCUGGAAUGCUUUCUAUUUUGGUUUUAUGGUAUGAAUGGAUACAUGAAUGCUACAUCUUUUGGUACAUUA